rnacentral:rRNA from 1 species
GGGAUGGCGUCACGGCACUCAUGAGAGUCGCAGCCAGAGGGGACACCAAAACGACUGAGCUGCUUAUACCAGUCCAGAAGGGGAUGAGGGAUAGAGGUGGGGACACGGCGUUCAUGCACGCCCUCAAGAACAAGCACAUAGACAUAGCUCUGCUUCUUCGCGAGCAUGAGGCCCCCUCGUGGACCCCGCUCAUGUGCGCGGCCUUCACUGGAGAUGUCACAACAGUCAAGGAACACCUCUCAGACAAGGACACGAGGAAUAGUGACGGAGACACGGCGCUGAUCAUAGCCGCGAGGGCGGGGCACAAGGACAUCGUGGAGCUCCUCGACCCCACCGAUAAGGAUGGAGUCACUGCCCUCAUGCGAGCUGUUGACAGAAACGAUCUGAUGGCUGUGAAGGCCCUCCUUCCUCUCCAGGGGGGACAGAAAACGACGGGGAAUGUCAGGAUAGGCAAGCUGAUUAUAUACGGUGGAACGGCGCUGAUGAGGGCAGUAGCACACGGCCACACAAGGAUAGUGGAGCUGCUCGUGGAGAAGGAGGGGGGCAUGAACGAUAAUAAUGGUGUGACAGCCCUUAUAUGUGCAGUAUGGAAUGGCCACCUAGAGUGUGCUAAGCUACUCUUAGAGAAGGAGAAGAACAUAAACAGGAGUAGGCUCUUGGACAUAGCCAAGGGCAAUGGAGAGAUACUAGCCAUCCUCUCAGAGUAGCCAGAGUAAACAACUACCGCCUCCACAUCAGACCUUACACAUCAGAGCCCCGCCACGCAGCAGGACUCCGGGGUCAGCAGCCUCUAGCGCGGGAGCGAACGCGGCUCAGGGAAGUCGGCAAGCCGGCUCCGUAACCUCGGGAAAAGGAGUGGCUCUGACGGCGCGCCGGGUCAGAACUGGAACGGACGCGGGGAUCCCGACUGUUUACUAGAAACACAGCGUCGCGAGGGCCGCACCCGGCGCUGGCGCGACGUGAUUUCUGCCCAGUGCCACGACCGUCACCGUGAAGCGAUCCGCCGAAGCCCUGGUAAACGGCGGGAGUAACUAUGACUCUCUUAAGGUAGCCAAAUGCCUCGUCGGGCAAUUUCCGACGUGCAUGAAUGGACCAACGAGGAUCCCACUGUCCCGAGCCGCGCCUCCGCGAGCCUCCAGCCUCGGGAACGGGCGAGGGCCGGCCAGCGGGGCAAGAAGACCCUUUUGAGCUUGACUCCAGCCCGGGCCUGUGGGGCGGGGCGGCCGGCGCAGCGCACAGGGGAGGCCGCGCCCCUGAGACACCCUGACGGCCGCCGCCGCCCCGCUCACCCGGUCGCGCGGGGACCCGCCCGGGCGGGGAGUUCGGACUGGGGCGGCGCGCC